GAUGAACGCUGGCGGCGUGCCUAAUACAUGCAAGUCGAGCGAACAGACGAGGAGCUUGCUCCUCUGACGUUAGCGGCGGACGGGUGAGUAACACGUGGAUAACCUACCUAUAAGACUGGGAUAACUUCGGGAAACCGGAGCUAAUACCGGAUAAUAUAUUGAACCGCAUGGUUCAAUAGUGAAAGACGGUUUUGCUGUCACUUAUAGAUGGAUCCGCGCCGCAUUAGCUAGUUGGUAAGGUAACGGCUUACCAAGGCAACGAUGCGUAGCCGACCUGAGAGGCGAUCCGCCCACUUUGUACAUAUACCUGGUCCCUCGUCCUUUGGGGAGGCGUCGCUGGGUAAAUUCCCGCAAUGGCCGAAUGCCUGACGGAUCACCGCGCGGUGAGUGAUGAAGGUUUUCGGAGCUUAAAAUUCUUUAGUUCGGUAAGAACAAAUGUUCAGGUAACAAUCAUCGCCUCAACGGAACCUAAUCAAAAAGCCCGGGCUAACUCCUU
rnacentral:rRNA from 1 species